GGUAUAUUGCUUUGCUCAUGUCGGUCGGUCGGUAGGUCGGUCAGUCGGUAGGUCGGUCGGUCGGUCCGUCCACCAGGUGGUUGUCGUAUGAUAACUCAAGAACGCAUACGCCUAGGAUCAUGAAACUUCAUAGGUAGAUUGAUCAUGACUCGCAGAUGACCCCUAUUGAUUUUGAGGUCACUAGGUCAAAGGUCAAGGUCACGGUGACCCGAAAUAGUAAAAUGGUUUCCGGAUGAUAACUCAAGAACGCAUACGCCUAGGAUCAUGAAACUUCAUAGGUAGA